CGCGAAUAGCUCAUUACAACAGCUAUAAUUUACUUGAUCUUGACUUCCUACUUGGAUAACUGUGGUAAUUCUAGAGCUAAUACAUGCACCAAAGCUCCGACCUUACGGGAAGAGCGCAUUUAUUAGAACAAAACCAAGCGGCUUCGGCUGUUUUCGGUUGACUCAUAGUAACUGAGCUGAUCGCAUGGUCUUGCACCGGCGACGUGUCUUUCGAGUAUCUGCCGUAUCAACUUUCGAUGGUAGUGUAUCUGACUACCAUGGUGAUCACGCGUAACGGAGAAUAAGGGUUCGACUCCGGAGAGUUCGCCUGAGAAAUCGCGAACACAUCUAAGGAAGGCAGCAGGCGCGAAAAUUACCCACUCUCAGCACGAGGAGGUAGUGACGAAAAAUAACGAGACCGUUCUCUUAUGAGGCCGGUCAUCGGAAUGGGUACAAUUUAAACCCUUCAACGAGUAUCUAUAAGAGGGCAAGUCUGGUGCCAGCAGCCGCGGUAAUUCCAGCU
rnacentral:rRNA from 1 species